UGAUUCCUAUUGCAAAAGGAAUUUUAUUCACUACAUAGCAGUUUUUAUAUUUCUUUUAUAUUCUUUUUCAUAGAGGUAGAUAGAUUAUACAUAUGUUAUUAUAUAUUCUUUUCAUACUUACUUUCUAUAUUUUUUAGGAAUUGAGUAGAAAACCUCAGAAGGGAUAUAAUAACCUUUCUGCAGUAAAUUAAAUUCCCCAGUGCAAGACACCUUUGACUGGAAGUGUAGAGGAGGAGUGAGGCUGCUUCUCUAGAGAGUCAUCAAUGAACUGGGUGAGAGGGUUAGAAAAUUCCCAGCAGCUCAGGCAGCCAUGGCUUGCCCUUCUGCCCUCAUCACCUGCAACUCCCUUCUGCCACCAAUGUCCAAAAGUGACAAUCCAUCUUUGUUUUCAGCUGCUGCUGUCCUCUUUUCCAAAGUCAAGGCAGGGUGACACACAUGGAGUAAAUGUACAGGCAGUCAAACCCCUGGAGGACAAACAGCUGAAAAGUGCCUAUACCAUCACAGUGGUUCAUAAAAAGGGGCAUGGAAAGUCCUCUGCCUUGAGAAGUGACCAAGAAGAUGAGGGUGACAAAGUCACCUGCAGUGUCACAGGGAUGAAUUAAUGACCUUGCUGGGGCAAAGGCCAGAGCUUGCCCAGUGGCAGUGAGAAAAGGGUUUUGCCUCCUCACCCCAUGCCCAUGUUGGAAUUAAUCACACAGAAAUGUCAACACUGCAGGAAAACAUCCUUCAGGAUAAUCUCUCUCACAAAGCUGCUUAACAUUUUGGAAAUAUACAGUUCACUUGGAGGUGUCAAAGGGUUUCAGCCCCUCUCAUGUCUGUUCAAAGGCAUCUUCAUCUGCUGCACCCUGUGCCAAGGGAGCAGAGCUGGGCUGGGAACGCUGCUGAACCUGCAGAGAGGUGGACACAGCACUGCCUCAUCCCCCAGCACCUGCUGGGGCUCUGCCAGGGGACAAAACUGGAGUUCUGUCACCUCUCAUCUUUGUUGUGCUGAAUGUCGUGCUUAAGAGCAGGAAGCACACGUCUGUAUGAGUUCCCAAGUGUCCUAGAGGGAGGUUUGCCAGCAGAUUUGGCUUUGGGGAGUGGUUUGGGAGUGAUCUUGCAGUGGGGAAAUGCUUGGAUGCUGAAUUCUCCAGCAGGUUCAGUACCUGGGAUGCUGUUUCUUGGGUUUGUUCCAGACUGAGCAGCUGUCUGGGAGCUGUUUGGUGUCAACCCUUUCUGGUCUGAUUUCCAGAGGUAACCACUCCCCCAUGUCCAGGGGAAGUGGAGCUGUGCUCUUUCACAGCCCUGUGCCUCAGUUUACCUGCACCUAUAAUUUUUUAAAACAUUAUUUACACUUAGGCAAUAGUGAAAUUUGAUGUGUGUCCACCUCAUGCCACGUUUUGAUUCAGAUUCUAGUGAGGUCUCAGAGUCAGCAAAUGGGUUUCCUUUUGGAGGGCACUACAGCAGAAGAGCUUCAGGAGCUCCUCUAAUAUACUCCAGCUGCUGACUGCUUGAAGCAAGUCCUCCACUCUCCCUAAAAACCAUCCAGGAUGACUGAGGGCCCUCAGCAUGAACUCCUCUGCUCUGCAUAUCCCCUCCUACAGCAGAGCACUUCUUCCCAGAGCAAACAGGUGUCAGCUCAGCACAGCUCCUUCUGGAAGGACAGUCCCCCCUCGAGUGGCAUCACUCCAAUCUGGUCCCACUCAUUUCUACUUCAGUUAUUUUGGCUCCUUCCAGGCAAGAGCACCCAUUUGUACUUCACAGGGUGCUCCCUCUCUGAAGAGCUCUCACUGCAGGCUCCCUGUGUGCCCUGGUGCUCCUGGGGCCAGGCUCAGGUGGACUAAUCAUGCCUGCCACAAUUUACAAGAAACAUGGAGCUCUCCUGCCCCUGACCCUGGCUGGCAUAGAGGUUGUCUGUAUUAUUGCUGCUGGUGCUGUACUGUACCCGCUGCUGAGGAGAGACAGGCCUCCAGACACCCGUAUUGAAUGCUCAAUUCGGUUAAAAUCGAUGAGAUAAUCAGCCCACAGAGUCUGCCCAAAGGUCAGGAAGCAGUGAUUUUUUCCUCCAGCAACUUUGGUCCUGAGCUCUUGUUUCAGUGUGAAGAUUGCAAGCCAAAGCACUUCAGUAGGUAGGUUAUCAAAGGGUUAUGAGUGCUGGUAGUUAGCUGACAGGCUGAUGUAACAAGGGCCUAACAAGGGCUCCUAAAACAGGCAGGCAAGUUUUGGCAGUGCUUUUUUCUCUAAAAAGAGCAGGAGAUGGUGCAGGGUGGGCUGGUGUCCUGCAAGGCAAAAUGCAAAGAGCCUUGAAGAGGAACCCACCAAUGUGGAGUAAGAAAAGAAUGGCAGGAGAAAGGGGUGCUGUGGGAAAGACCAGGUGGGGAUAACCCUUUUUCUCACCCCAUUCCCCAGAUUUCAUCCCCCAUCUUGUGUCUCCUCAGUCCCACGUGUGCCCACAGCAGCCGUCGCCAGAGCCAAAGGCCGCAGCAGGGGGAGGAUCCAUCUUACCCCUCUCCUCACUCCAGCACACGUUCUCCAGCAGCUGGACACACGACAUACUGCGGGCUGGAUUUGCAGAAACACUUUGAUCUUUCAUCUUUAAGCUCAGUGAUUCAAUCCCCCCCAGAGCCAAGGUAAACGGCGGCGAUGCCGCUUCGGCGGGCCCGAGGUUCCAAGUCAAACAGCAGUCCUUUAACCACACUUUUAAAGCUCGUAUCAUUUGAAUGUCAUAUGUCAAACUGAUGCUACUUCCACUGAAGGCAAAUAGCUGUUUAUUCCCCUCACAGCUGCCCAGCAGUCUGACAUUCAUUACUGAAUCCUUGCAGCUGCCAGGGAUUGAAGCUACCUGUAGGAGCGCGUCUAUCAAAGCCUUCCACCUCUUAAGGGUUAUUCCCUACAAUACCAGCUCAUACAGUUUAGUUCAGGCUCAUUUUACAGCUGCUGUCGUUCUGCAGUUGUUUUUUCCUAUGUUUGAACAAGGUCAGGCAUUGUUUUUUGCCCGUUCCCUCCCGAAUUAUGUCGUUAGCUCAUUUUUCAUGGUUUCUCCGGGGUUCAGGCUCGCUGUCACUGUGCACCAGCCCCUGAGGUUUAUGAUGUGAAUGUUCCACGGCUGUGGGCAGCAACCAGCACACAGGACUGCAGUGCUGGUGGUCCAGUCUUGGCAUCUUGAUGCAGCUCCAGCUCUCCGUGAGGCCAGCGCUGCGAAUUCUAUUUCUGGGAUGAAGGAAAACCACUAGAAGAGAGCCAGCAGGAAUAUUUUACUAUUCCAGCAGUCAUUGCAGCACGGCAGGGUCUGGACGUGACUGAGAGUUUAUCCAUGGCCAGCCAGCGGAAAAUGACCAGCAGUGAAAUGCUAGCCGUGGAUGUUAAGUGAUUACUUUCUGAAAUAACUCCCUCCUCUCCAUCCCAGAGCGACGUGUAAAGUGUUUGCUGAUACAGGAAUUACAGAUGUUGGAGGAGCUGCUAUAAACGCUCCCAAGAUUUACAUCUCCUCCGUGAGGUUUCUCCACGGGCUGACUUCCCAGGGAGAGGUUUUACAGGCACUCAGGAUCCUUUUGAAUGUGUCUCCAGAGGUGUGUGCAAUAAUCAGAGGAAAUCCCUUGAAGCCCAUCAGAUAAAGCACACAGAGUUGGGAAGGGAGCAGGGAGGUCACUUAGUCCCUAUGGAAAAAACUAUUUUUGGCUUAUUCAGGGACACAAAGCCAAGUUUUCAACUCAUGCUGAGUGCUGGUUUCAUGAGCACCUCCAGAUGCUUGCAGCCACAUCACAGCUCCAGUUUGUUCUGGCUUACAGCACGAAAAUAAACUUAAAUCUCCUAAAACUGCUGGGUUUCUUCUGAAUUUGGGGUAGAGUGGAAGAAUUCAGCUCUUAUAUCUGGAUCUGACCACUCCUAAUGCCCAUUCCCAGUGCCCCACUGAUGUGUGAGGCUGGUCACCCCACAGCUUUUAGGGAGAAUUAUUACUUCAUUCAUUACUUCAGUGAAAGAAGUAACGGGCCCAGGUGGAAUUACAGGUGGUAAUGAAAAACAGAGACUUGAUUUUCUCCAAUACCAUUUGUGGGUACUUCAAAUACAUUUAUUUAUUUAUUUAUGUGUAUAUGUGUGUAUGCAAGUGCCAUAGGUAUGUACCAUGUAUUUAUGGCAACUAUACAAAGAAUUAUAUCUAUAUAUGUUAGUUAUGUUACACCUACAGUUUGGAGCUGCAGGCUCUGGGCUGUGAGGCCUUGUAUUUUUCCUUUUAUGCUCUGGCAAUAAUAGCUUUUGGCUAUUAUUUUGGCUUUGGCCAAUAACAGCUUAUUGCCCACAUCAUAAGAUUUAAAGCCUGUGACCAUUAUGUUUGCUGAAGGAGACUUAAACUUCCCUUUGGAAACUCCAGUGUAUUGGUGCAAGGUGUAUUUUCUCCA